GAGGCGGAGCAAAUCUCAAAAAGACGUCCCAGUUCGGAUUGCAGGCUGCAACCCGCCUGCAUGAAGUUGGAAUCGCUAGUAAUCGCGGAUCAGCAUGCCGCGGUGAAUACGUUCCCGGGCCUUGUACACACCGCCCGUCACACCAUGAGAGUCGGGAACACCCGAAGUCCGUAGUCUGACCGCAAGGGGACGCGGCCGAAGGUGGGUUCGAUAAUUGGGGUGAAGUCGUAACAAGGUACC
rnacentral:rRNA from 1 species